UCUUGUGUUCUGUUGUAGUUAUUGCAAUGUUACUUAAGCAUUUCCUUAAAUCGUAUCAUCACUAAUUAUCAAAUUCCUCUCUAUCUAGGUUCUUUGCAAUUGACCUGGGACUUGUAUUCCUCUAUGCAUAAUUGCAUUUUUAUUUUAGGUCAUGAAAAUAGAUGGUCAUCUGUUUUCUAUGUUGAGAGUACAGCAAAAGUAAAAAGACUUUCUUUAAGUGGCUUGCUUCUUUACAAGUUACGCAUAUCUGAUCAGUUCUUUGUGCAAUGACCACAAUUACAGAGAAAGUAUCCUCGAGCUCGUUAUGUUGGCUGUCUCAUGUAGUUUGAUUGAAUUCCUGCUGACAUGGUACUGUAACAUUUCUUCAAGUUUUUGCUGUGCCAAUCUACAUUUUUAAAGUUAUUACAAUUGCUCUAUAGUUGAUUCUCUAGUUAAGUUGUACACAAGUUAUACUGGUGAGAUCCAAAAGCCUUUUGUAGCUUUCACCAAAGAGGACAGGGGAGUCAGUUUACUGGUGUAAAUUUUUAUUUGCAUAAAGAGUGACACCCUUGAUUUUCAUACAAACAAUGCAGCCACCAUCUCGGCACUCCAGUUUCUUCUCCUCAGUCAAGCAGGUUGAGAAAAGAUUGACACUUGAACAUCAGACAGAACACCCCUCUCCUACACAACCAGUUCAAGAAAGCAACUCUAAGUUCAAAUCAUCAACAGAACCGCUUGGCUCCCGUAUAUAUCUCCAUUUAGACCAAACCCACAACAACUCAAAUCUCCAAGAAAGUGGCAACAGUGAAGCCCCACAAGUAUUUUUAUCUUUGUCUUCCAAAUUUCCACCUUCAACCCAACAAAGCCCUCCUCAGAUAAACCCAACAACGACCGAUGAUCAAGAAUCUAAUGAUGUUGAUGACAUAAAAAUAUUGAUGCAGCUUCUGGGUAUAUCCAAUCAUUUUGAAGAGAGAAAAGAAAAAG